CCUACGGGGGGCUGCAGUGGGGAAUAUUGGACAAUGGGGGGAACCCUGAUCCAGCCAUGCCGCGUGUGUGAAGAAGGCCCUCGGGUUGUAAAGCACUUUCAGUGAGGAAGAACGCCUGGUGGUUAAUAUCCAUCAGGAAAGACAUCACUCACAGAAGAAGCACCGGCUAACUCCGUGCCAGCAGCCGCGGUAAUACGGAGGGUGCGAGCGUUAAUCGGAAUUACUGGGCGUAAAGCGCGCGUAGGUGGCUUGAUAAGCCGGUUGUGAAAGCCCCGGGCUCAACCUGGGAACGGCAUCCGGAACUGUCAAGCUAGAGUGCAGGAGAGGAGGGUAGAAUUCCCGGUGUAGCGGUGAAAUGCGUAGAGAUCGGGAGGAAUACCAGUGGCGAAGGCGGCCUUCUGGACUGACACUGACACUGAGGUGCGAAAGCGUGGGUAGCAAACAGGAUUAGAUACCCUGGUAGUC
rnacentral:rRNA from 1 species